rnacentral:lncRNA from 1 species
UAGAUUUCACAAUUUAAAUGUUAAAAAUUAAUCUUUAGAAUUAAAUUUAUAGUUUUAAAUUUUAAAUUUUAAACUUUGUUAUUGAUAUUGAGGUAUAUGAAAUAGAGUUUAGGGUUUAAGUUGAAAAUCAGAAAUUAAAGUUUGGAAAUAGAUUUAAAGUUUACAUUUAAGAUUUUGAGUUAAAAUGAAAAUAAAUAAAUUUGGAGAUUAGAUUUAUCAUUCAGGGUUUAGAGUUUGGGUGAUGAUUGUUUAAAGUAUAUAUUUAGAAUAUGAAAUUAAUCUUUUAAAAAAUAGGAUUUUAACUAUUAAAUUUUUUUAUAUAUUGGAUAUAAGUUCUAUUAGGUACAUGGUUAAGAUUUAGGAUCAACUAUAUGGUUUGAGUUUUUGAAUAUAAUUGGAGUUUGGUUUUUAAAUUUAUAUCAUAGGUUUGAGGUUUGGGGUAUUAGAUAUAGGGGGUAGAUUAAAGAUUUAGUGUUUGAGAUUUAGAAUUUAAAUUUAAGAUUAUAUUUUAUAAAUUAUAAAUUGCAAAUUGCAAAUUGAUUUAUAACUAAAACAUAUAUUGCAUUAAAUUCAUAAUAGAUACAUCUUACAUAGAAUCUUUCCAAGUAUUACACUGACAUCAAACAUUAGGGUUUAGGUUUAGGUUUUUUUUUUUUUUUUUUAAAUUACAUGUUGAAAAUUUAUAUAUUUUUAAAGUAAUAUGCUUUUGUUUUAGUUAUAAAUUUCUACAAAUGUUCAUUUUGAAGUUUAUUGUAAGUGUUGGAUGUUGGAAUUAUGGUAUGUUUAGGGUUUAGAACUUGAAGCAAAAAUUUUUUUCUAGUUUAUUAUUAGUGUUAGAUUUUAAUUAUAUCAUAUUAUUUGUUGGUAUCUUUGGAUUUUAUGAUGAAAUAUUAAAAAUUAAGGGUUUAGAGUAUGAUUAAUAGUAUUUUAGAUAUACAUUUAUAUAUCUUGUAUGUUCUUGGAUAAUUAAUAAACUAAACCAUCUCAAGUGCUGUAGAGUGCACCAAAAUAUACAUAAACCUCCCCAACGUGUAAUACAUUACUCCCAUCCGUGAAUCAGUUGUGAAUGUUUAAGAUUCCUAAUGCUUAUAAAAGAUAUUACAUAUAAGAACCAACUACAUGACAUAUUCAGCUAGAGUCUUUAGCCUUCUGGCUCUUCUCACUGUUGCAAACCCAAAUCUGAUACGACAAAAAGUGAUGAUGUCAAUAGCAAUCUUGCAAAGAUAGACUUUAGACACAAUAUAAAAUCAGUUUAAGAACUACCUUGAAGUCCCCACCAAACGAUGUACUGACUGCCAUGGAACGGGUAAGGUGGGAAGCAAUGGCUGAGACACCAUCAUCCCUGAACACAAGGGCCAAUUCAAUUAAACAGAACAAAGAGUAAUGGAGUCAAAACUCCAAAGUAACCUCAGCAUUGCUAUCAGCAUUCUUUAGAAUAUCAAGUACACACUGAAUAGAUUUAACAAGCCAAUGACCUUGAUUGUUUGGACCCUGCAG